rnacentral:rRNA from 1 species
UACGGAGGGAGCUAGCGUUGUUCGGAAUUACUGGGCGUAAAGCGCACGUAGGCGGCUCUUCAAGUCAGGGGUGAAAUCCCGGGGCUCAACCCCGGAACUGCCCUUGAAACUGCAGAGCUAGAAUACUGGAGAGGUGAGUGGAAUUCCGAGUGUAGAGGUGAAAUUCGUAGAUAUUCGGAAGAACACCAGUGGCGAAGGCGACUCACUGGACAGUUAUUGACGCUGAGGUGCGAAAGCGUGGGGAGCAAACAGGAUUAGAAACCCCCGUAGUCC